rnacentral:rRNA from 1 species
CAGUCGCCGCGGGAAUACGAAGGGGGCUAGCGUUGCUCGGAUUUACUGGGCGUAAAGGGCGCGUAGGCGGAUCGUUAAGUUGGGGGUGAAAGCCCGGGGCUCAACCUCGGAAUUGCCUUCAAUACUGGCUAUCUUGAGUAUGAGAGAGGUGUGUGGAACUCCGAGUGUAGAGGUGAAAUUCGUAGAUAUUCGGAAGAACACCAGUGGCGAAGGCGACACACUGGCUCAUUACUGACGCUGAGGCGCGAAAGCGUGGGGAGCAAACAGGAUUAGAUACCCCAGUAGUCCCUGUCUCUUAUAC